CACGAGGCGAAGGUUGGCGCUUUCUACUGGUGCCAACUACGCUCUGCUGCACCGCAAAGCAUCAUGGGAUGAUAAGUCGGGAUGAGGCGAAGCGAGGCAUUGUGGGGAGAGAUAUUGAAGCUCAAUCACCUGCGGAGGAGCUGAGGGAAUCCGAGGGCUGCUCGGGGGACUUUGCGAUGCAAAUGUGAGGUAAUUACCUAAAGCCAGGAGAGCGAGUGGAAGGCAGCCCAGGCUAAAUUAGAGCAAGAAGGGAAAGCGACGGUGAGAGACGCGAAAGAUUCACAAGCCUGUUGAUGCUGACUGAUUGGAGCACUCAGAAUGAAGGGCAAAAAUGGAGGGGUGUUGUGUAGGAAAGGGAUUCACAGAAGACUGCUGUGCCCUUGUGUUUUAAGCCCAUUCAUGUGUCUGUGCUUGUCCUCUUUUUCUUCUGAAAAAAAACCAGAUGAAUGUGUUCCAUGUUUUUCCUAACUCCAGAGAGAUUUGGUUAGUCGUCGUUGUGUGAUUAGCUUAAUGUAUGUCAUGGUUGCCAUGUUCAAGUGUAAUAGGCUGUAUAUGGAGAAUAAAAGCCUUUGACUAUG